rnacentral:rRNA from 1 species
UACGGAGGGAGCUAGCGUUGUUCGGAAUUACUGGGCGUAAAGCGCGCGUAGGCGGCUUUGUAAGUUAGAGGUGAAAGCCCGGGGCUCAACCCCGGAACAGCCUUUAAGACUGCAUCGCUAGGAUCCGGGAGAGGUGAGUGGAAUUCCGAGUGUAGAGGUGAAAUUCGUAGAUAUUCGGAAGAACACCAGUGGCGAAGGCGGCUCACUGGACCGGCAUUGACGCUGAGGUGCGAAAGCGUGGGGAGCAAACAGG